rnacentral:lncRNA from 1 species
UAUGUAAUUUAUAAACAUGAAAUAGAUAUGGAUGUUAGGUAAUACCGGAUGUUAAAUUAAUAUAUAAAUAUUUAACUUAAUACGUACAUUAUUAUUUUAUUAAUUUAUCGUCACACGUCAUUUACCAGUUGCCUAAUUACGAAAAGUUUCAUAUGAUAUUAACCUCAAAAUGAUCUUUGAAAACAAACAACAACAAAUAACUCAAAGAAAUAACUACAUACUACAUAAUAAUAACUGAUAAUAAUGACUUUUAAUGGUAUAAAGGCUGAUGAAGUUUUAGACAACCAAUACAAGAUUCAGAACUCGGCAUCGCGAUAAACAAGUAAAAUUGUACAUUCAGGAACUCGUUUAAAUAUUAUAGGUUGAUUGAAGAAUAAUCUACAAUUGAUUAGAGCCUAUGACGAUGCGAAGAUAAUUAAUCACCUAACUUUAAGAAACCAGCCUAAAGAAGUUUACAUGCAUCUCAUCUAACCAUUAUAGAUCAGUAGUGAUUUUUCAUAAUUUGAAUGAACUCACAGAUAGCAAUGGGGCACCGCACCCG